rnacentral:rRNA from 1 species
AGGAUGAACGCUGGCGGCGUGCCUAAUACAUGCAAGUCGAGCGGUAAGGCCUCUUCGGAGGUACACGAGCGGCGGACGGCUGAGUAACACGUAGGAACGUACCCCAAAGUGAGGGAUAAGCACCAGAAAUGGUGUCUAAUACCACAUGUGAUCUUCGGAUUAAAGCUCCGGCGCUUUGGGAACGGCCUGCGCAUGAUUAGCUUGUUGGUGAGGUAAUGGCUCACCAAGGCGACGAUCAUUAGCUGGUCUGAGAGGAUGAUCAGCCAGACUGGGACUGAGAACGGCCCAGACUCCUACGGGAGGCAGCAGUAGGGAAUUUUCCACAAUGGGCGAAAGCCUGAUGGAGCAACGCCGCGUGCAGGAUGAAUGCCUUCGGGUUGUAAACUGCUUUUUAUAUGUGACGAAUAUGACGGUAGCAUAUGAAUAAGGAUCGGCUAACUCCGUGCCAGUAGCCGC